CCCAGUACUUAUUAUGAACUGUUGGGGGUGCAUCCUGGUGCCAGCACUGAGGAAGUUAAACGAGCUUUCUUCUCCAAGUCCAAAGAGCUGCACCCAGACCGGGACCCUGGGAACCCAAGCCUGCACAGCCGCUUUGUGGAGCUGAGCGAGGCAUACCGUGUGCUCAGCCGUGAGCAGAGCCGCCGCAGCUAUGAUGACCAGCUCCGCUCAGGUAGUCCCCCAAAGUCUCCACGAACCACAGUCCAUGACAAGUCUGCCCACCAAACACACAGCUCCUGGACACCCCCCAACGCACAGUACUGGUCCCAGUUUCACAGCGUGAGGCCACAGGGGCCCCAGUUGAGGCAGCAGCAACACAAACAAAACAAACAAGUGCUGGGGUACUGCCUCCUCCUCAUGCUGGCGGGCAUGGGCCUGCACUACAUUGCCUUCAGGUGAUGCCUGUUCUCCCCGGGGUGAUGGGCAGAGGGCAGGAGGGUGGGUGAAUUCCAGUGUGGUCAGCCAGUCCUCCACAGCACCUCGUGGCCCGUACUCUUGUGUCUCUCA
rnacentral:lncRNA from 1 species